AAAAAAAGGCCUGGAAUCGAGUGGAAGUAUACUACAAAAGAGUAAAAUUCGACAGAAAAUGACACGGAGGAGCAGAAGAAACACAAGGAAAAAAAUUAUUCAAUAAUAUUAUUUAUUAUUAAUCAAAUUUUAUAUAGCUUGUCUUCUUUAUAAUAAAAAUUAUUAUAAUACUUAGUUGCAUUUGCAGAUAAAAAAAAAGAUACAAAAUAUAUUUGGUCAUCCUAUCUCCUAAAUUACGCAAACCUUCCAAGUAAUUUCAUUGACAUUUACAUUUUACACGGCUG
rnacentral:lncRNA from 1 species